UAACUUGACUGUAGCAAAGGGAGGAGGCAAGAAAGAGAAGAGGCAGUGAACAGUUUUUGUGUUUCAUGUUGAUGGAGGCCGAGGGGCGAUAGUACAUUAGGGAAUGGAAGAGCUAGACAUGGUUGUCAAGUGCUGCCACGUUGAUGUUCUUUAUCCCUUCAGAGAUUUAUGUGUAGUGUUAGAAGCUUGGUCUUCGGUGUGGUGACAUUAGGAGGCAGGAAGCUGAGGUUAGAAGGUGAUUCUUAGGUCAAUUGGGGGUCUGUCUCAGGAGAGAUUGAAGGACCCCACUCUCACUAUUUUUCCUGCUUCAAAAUAUGAUCCUAUCUCCCAAAAUGUGAUCCUACGACAACUGCCUCUGGGGUCCUAGCCAGAGGCUGGGUCAUGUUAUUUGAACUUUUAUGAUUUUUUUCUUUAUCAAGUUACCCUGCCUCAGGUGUUUUGUUAAAGUAACAAAACUGAUGAAGGACAAAUUAGAGAUAGAGGGAUGAAGGGUGGAGACAAGACAGAGAGUGAUACCAAUGGAAUGGGGCUGUUAUAUGUCCUAGACACUUUGUUACCUGAUUGGGAUAAGUCUCCUUAAAGAGUCUGACAAAGAACACAGGUCCAACAACAGGCUUGAGAAGAGCUUUUUU
rnacentral:lncRNA from 1 species